GCUGCUUUAAUUUAAAUAAGAAUGUAUGUUUUGUAAUCAUAAAGUUUUGUAGCAUUU
rnacentral:tRNA from 1 species